UUCUCAGUCAGGUAUGGUAGAGAGAAGGGAACUGGUGUAUUCUCAGUCAGGUAUGGUAGAGAGAAGGGAACUGGUGUAUUCUCAGUCAGGUAUGGUAGAGAGAAGGGAACUGGUGUAUUCUCAGUCAGGUAUGGUAGAGAGAAGGGAACUGGUGUAUUCUCAGUCAGGUAUGGUAGAGAGAAGGGAACUGGUGUAUUCUCAGUCAGGUAUGGUAGAGAGAAGGGAACUGGUGUAUUCUCAGUCAGGUAUGGUAGAGAGAAGGGAACUGGUGUAUUCUCAGUCAGGUAUGGUAGAGAGAAGGGAACUGGUGUAUUCUCAGUCAGGUAUGGUAGAGAGAAGGGAACUGGUGUAUUCUCAGUCAGGUAUGGUAGAGAGAAGGGAACUGGUGUAUUCUCAGUCAGGUAUGGUAGAGAGAAGGGAACUGGUGUAUUCUCAGUCAGGUAUGGUAGAGAGAAGGGAACUGGUGUAUUCUCAGUCAGGUAUGGUAGAGAGAAGGGAACUGGUGUAUUCUCAGUCAGGUAUGGUAGAGAGAAGGGAACUGGUGUAUUCUCAGUCAGGUAUGGUAGAGAGAAGGGAACUGGUGUAUUCUCAGUCAGGUAUGGUAGAGAGAAGGGAACUGGUGUAUUCUCAGUCAGGUAUGGUAGAGAGAAGGGAACUGGUGUAUUCUCAGUCAGGUAUGGUAGAGAGAAGGGAACUGGUGUAUUCUCAGUCAGGUAUGGUAGAGAGAAGGGAACUGGUGUAUUCUCAGGUAUGGUAGAGAGAAGAGUUGUGAAAAGUGAUAGAGGAAAAGAGAUCAAGACGAGAAAGAAAAGUGUGAAAUAGAGACAGAUGAGAGAGACACACUGGGAAGAGAGGGAGACUGGGAAGAGAGAGAGAGAAAGAGAGAGAAAGAGAAAGAAAGAGCGAGAGAGAAAGAGAGAGAAAGAGAAAGAGAAAGAAAGAGAGAGAGAGAGAAAGAGAGAGAGAGAAAGAGAGCGAGAGCGAAAGGGAGAAACUACUGUGACUUUGGUUCCAUUUAAAGCACUGUAUAAAACCCAUGUAUUAUUAUUAUGAAGAGAAAAUGGAGUGGAGGGACAGGGGAGAGUUGCCAGGGAGGCUGACCACACACACACUUCUCCCAGCGAGUGGCGAUGUUCUGUCAGACUGCCACAGUGUGAUAGCCUUGCCCUAUGCUCCAUUCCGGGUCAGCAGGGGGAGGAGGGGGAGAUUAGUGCAGAGUUACACCCUCAGCUGUCAACAGACACUUCAGUUCUGAAUCAGAUGAUUUAUGACUGAAGGACUUAAAGAAGGGAUAAAGUACAGGGUGUGGUUGAGGUCAGUGUUUUGGCUAUAAAGUACCUUAGGAAAACUUUACUGACAGCUGUGUGUGUGUGUGUGUGUGUGUGUGUGUGUGUGUGUGUGUGUGUGUGAGUGAGUGAGUGAGUGAGAGAGAGAGAGAGAGGAGAGAGAGCGAGGGAUACCUGCCCUCCUCACCCCGACUCAUAUAAAAGUACUACACUGAACAAAAAUAUAAACGCAACAUGAAAAAUGAGACCAACACUUUACAUGAGCUGAAAUAAAAGACUGCAGAAAUGUUCCACACACUCAAAAAAGCUUAUUUCUCUCAGAUGUUGUGCACAAAUUUGUUUACAUCCCUGUGAGUGAGCAUUUCUCCUUUGCCAAGAUAAUCCAUCCAUCUGACAGGUGUGGCAUAUCAACAAGCUGAUUAAACAACAUGAUCAUUACACAGGUGCAACUUGUGCUGGGUACAAUAAAAGGCCACUUUAAAAUGUGCAGUUUUGUCACAAUGCCACAGAUGUCAUUUCUCUAUCAUAAGCUGCCUCCAAAAUUGUUCUAGAGAAUUUGGGGGUGCUGAAGAGUAUUGCUGUCUGUAUUAAAGCCCUUUUGCGGGGAAAAAUGUAUUCUGAUUGGCUGGGCCUGGCUCCCAAGUGGGUAGGCCUAUGCCUUCCCAGGCACCCCUGCCCAAUCAUCUGUAAUCCAUUAAUAAGGGCAACACAUUUUUUUUUUCAAUUUACUGGUUUCCUUAUAUGAACUGUAAAUCAGUAAAAUCUCUGAAAUUGUUGCAUGCUGUGUUUAUAUUUUUCUUCGAUAUAUAAAGUACCAGUCAAAAGUUUGGACACACCUACUUAUUCAAGGUUUUUUUUUUUUUAAAUGAUUUUCUACAUAGUAGAAUAAUAGUGAAGACAUCCAAACUAUGAAAUAACACACGGAAUCAUGUAGUAACCAAAAAAAAAGUGUUAAACAAAUCAAAAUAAAUAUAAUAUUUGAGAUUCUUCAAAUAGCCACCCUUUGCCUUGAUGACAGCUUUGCACACUCUUGGCAUUCUCUCAACCAGCCUCAUGAGGAGUACACCACAUCAGUCACUAGCUUCAUCAAUAAGUGCAUCGAUGACGUCGUGCCCACAGUGACCGUACGUGCAUACCCCAACCAGAAGCCAUGAAUUACAGGCAACAUCCGCAAUCAGCUAAAGGGUAGAGCUGCCGCUCUCAAGGAGCGGGACUCAAACCCGGGAGCUUAUAAGAAUUCCCGCUAUUCCCUCUGAAGAACCAUUAAAAAGGCAAAGCGUCAAUACAGGACUAAGAUUGAAUCGUAUAACACCGGCUCCGACGCUCAUCGGAUGUGGCAGGGCUUGCAAACUAUUACAGACUACAAACGGGAAGCACAGCCGCGAGCUGCCCAGUGACAUGAGCCUACCAGAUGAGCUUAAUUACUUUAUGCUCGCUUUGAGGCAAGUAACACUGAAGCAUGCAUGAGAGCACAGUUGUU